AUCCGGCUGAUGAGUCCCGAAUAGGACGAAACGUGCGUCCUGGAU
rnacentral:hammerhead_ribozyme from 1 species